rnacentral:lncRNA from 1 species
ACCUCUCUGAGUACCUCCUCUCUGGCCAGAACGAAUCUUUGACUCCGCGCUGCGCAGUCUACGCAGACGGGGCAGGAUCCACUGCAGUUUUCCACAGGCAAAUACCUGCUGGCUCCACCUUAGGCGAGAUGUGGCCUCUCGGGGAGGGACCCGUUGUGGACACGUUUGCGCAACCGGUGCCCUGGCAGGAGGGACUGGCUUACGCCACCCUGUGCAGGAUCAUCUUCUCAGCUUACAGAGCCUAGUGUGAUUCAACAACCCUCCAUCUCUGCCCCCAACAUGCCCAACUGAUCUGGUGGAGGGAACUGAAGAUGAAGGCCUCUCAGGCACCAUGGAUGGGAUGGGUGUGUGUG